AUGGCGAGGAAGAUGGUGCGGGCGGCUGGUUGGUGCCUGAUCUGCCUGGACGCGCUGGAAGCGGCGGGAGACGCGGCCUCGCUGCGCGGCCCCUUCGCAGACCUGGCCGCGGCACUGCUGCGCCUGGGGGAACUGGCAGCGCACAGGCCAGAGGAGCGCCUGGGCCGCGCGGGCCGCCUGCUUCGGGGCUGCGUCCCCCCACUGAUCGCGGCGGUCCGCGGCCACCUGCGGCAUCCGCGCGAUCCGCGGCUGGCGGCCUCCCGGCGCCGGGUUUGCGCUCUGGCCAGAAAGGCCCUCGGCGAGCUCCUGGUGCAGCUAGACCCUGGCACCGCAGCCCCGGCGGCCGGCUCGUGGAACGGCGCGCUCGCCCGACGCCUGAGGCAGUUGCACCAGCUGCUGGUGGCGCCGGAGCCCGAGCCUCUGCACGUCGGCCUGCUGGACCCGCCGCUGGCCGCCGUGGUCUGGCACUGCAUGCGCCUGGCCGCCUGCUCUGCGCCGCCCGAGAGGCUGCACCUGGUGGCCCGCUGCGGCCGGCUGCUGCAGUUGCGAAGCGCUGGCGCCCGGCGCCUCCCGGGGAUCAGCGGACCUCCGGGGAGAGGCCAGGGAAGGCCGGAGCCAGGACAAGAGCGCGCGGCGCUGCGGGCCGCGACCGAGGCCCUCUUUCAGGGGUUCCGCACUGGGCUACUCCGCCAGAUCCUGGACACCUUCACGGACACGCAAAGUCCUCUCCUAAGGCUGGUCCAGGCGGCGGUGGCGACUCCUUAUCGUGACGAGGCCUUGCCAAAGAGCCUCCAGCUUUUUCUUGCUACUUUCCAUGACAGGGCCAAGCAGAUGCUCAGAGUGGCUCGCUUGGCAUUGGUUUGCUGCCCUCGACAAGAAAUUGGCAGAGACAUGGAGGCCGCCAUGGCAGGUAUUUGGGGGCUCGUGGUGAGAGUGCAACAGCUUUUCUCAGGAAGCCCCCAAGGGUCUGGCCGGGACUGGAACCCUGUCACCCUGCAGACCCUGCUUCGGGCUUGGGCCAGGGAAUCCGAACACCUGUUGGCAUGUUUUGAUGAUGUUCUCAGUAUUCCUGAGUUCCUGAGUGUGUCCAUUCAGGAAAUGACCAAGCACUUGGACUUCUUUACAUGGGCUUUGGAGAGUGGAAAUUCCAGAGAGUUUUCCCGAUGUGUGGCAUAUCUACAGGGCCGGGCCACACACAUAGCACAGGUAAUGAGCAGGUGCGUGGGCCGGGAACGAGAUCCCAUUUUCCGGAAUGGCCUGAGAGUCUUGAUCCAGCAGCUGGAGCAAUCUUCAUGGGUCUUGCGUGCAGCUGCUGAGCGCUGUUCACAUGAAUCUGGCUCUCCAGACACUGAUGCAUUUUUAACCAUGGCAAAACAUCUGAUCUAUUCAGCUCAGAGCCUCAAAGAGGGGCUGGAUGGGACUAACCACCCAGAUAUCCUCAGCCCCCUUCGGGACCAAGUCCACAGGUCUGACAUUGCUAAGAGACAGGUUUAA
rnacentral:lncRNA from 1 species